AUUGAACGCUGGCGGCAGGCCUAACACAUGCAAGUCGAACGAGUGGCGGACGGGUGAGUAAUGUUUGGGAAACUGACUGAUGGAGGGGGAUAACUACUGGAAACGGUAGCUAAUACCGCAUAGCAUCGGAUGUGCCAAGAGGGGAUUAGCUAGACGGUGGGGUAAAGGCUCAACUAGGCGACUAAACCUAGCUGGUCUGAGAGGAUGACCAGCCCCACUGGACCUUGGACAGGGUCCAGACUCCUACGGGAGGCAGCAGUGGAGAAUAUUGCACAAUGGGCGCAAGCCUGAUGCAGCCAUGCCGAGUGUAUGAAGAAGGCUUUCGGGUUGUAAAGUACUUUCAGCGGGUAGGCGUUACCCGCAGAAGAAGCACCGGCUAACUCCGUGCCAGCAGCCGCGGUAAUUC
rnacentral:rRNA from 1 species